rnacentral:rRNA from 1 species
GGGGAAUAUUGGGCAAUGGGCGAAAGCCUGACCCAGCGACGCCGCGUGAAGGAUGAAGGUCUUCGGAUUGUAAACUUCUUUGAUCAGGGAAGAAAGAAAUGACGGUACCUGAAAAACAAGCCACGGCUAACUACGUGCCAGCAGCCGCGGUAAUACGUAGGUGGCAAGCGUUGUCCGGAUUUACUGGGUGUAAAGGGCGUGUAGGCGGGGAUGCAAGUCAGAUGUGAAAUCCCGCGGCUCAACCGCGGAACUGCAUCUGAAACCGCGUCUCUUGAGUGUCGGAAGGGAAAGUGGAAUUCCUAGUGUAGCGGUGAAAUGCGUAGAUAUUAGGAGGAACACCGGUGGCGAAGGCGACUUUCUGGACGAUAACUGACGCUGAGACGCGAAAGCGUGGGGAGCAAAC